rnacentral:lncRNA from 1 species
UCGACAGGAUCCACUGCUAGAAGGCAAACUCCUUGAAGCCAGGACCUGUCUCUGCUGUUUCCUCUGCUUCAUCUCCAGGGCCCGGCACAGCACUGAGCACCUGGCAGCGCUCAGUAAAUAUUUGCUGAGUGAGUGAUGCUGGUUUGCUGUGUUUUUUGUUUCCUAGUGAUUAAUAUGCGUGGGUUUCUCAUCAAAGAGCAGAUUGUGUCAAACCCACAGAGCGCCCGACUCUGGGGCGGCUCCGAACUCAUUAUCUUCCAGGCGCAAGUGGAGAGAUUCUUGGACAAAGAUUUAAACAAACACUCAAGUUCCCGCUUUGACCUCGCCAACCUUCCGGUGAGUUCAGAGUCAUAAACCAUUAUUGUCUCCACAGGCGGGGACGACCUCGGGUGCCUCUUGGCACCUGGUGCAUCCGUCUGAAUUAGUAACUUGGUCUCUAGAUCUGAUGCUGGGCCAGGACUGAAGGAGCUGACUGUCCAUGUGAUCUACUCUUGGCAUCUGUAAGGGCGUCUGGGACGCAGACACACACUCAGAGUCAGAGAACCAGAAGGUGUUUGCUUGUUUGUUUUUAAGGCCCGAAAGAACCAGUGAAUGAAAAGGACUUGCCCAGGGUCACACUGGGGGCAGUUGGCAGAGCCUGGCCCACAGCGGGGUACCUAGACUCCUGUCCCAGUGCUCUCCCCUCGCCCUGGCCAUCCAACUAUUCCCCAUGCUUAGUGAUCCAGUGCCCAUCCCUGCCACUCGAUGGCUGUGCAACCUUGUGAAAUUUACUCGUGAAAUUUUUUCCCCUUUUUUUUCACUUGUGAUAAAAUACACAAAACCUCACAUUUACCAUCUUAACCAUUUGUAAGUGCACAGUUCAGUGGCAUUAAGUACAUUCAUGUUAUUGUGCAACCAUCACCACCAUCCAUCUCUGGAACUCUUUUCAUCUUGCAAAACUGAAACUCUGGAAAUUUUACGCAUCAAGUCUAAGCCCCAGGCCUGGCCUCCAAGGCCUUCAGACGCGGCCCUGCUGCUCUUAGCCGUUGUGUUCUCCGUCUGUCCCCCUGCGAGUGCCUGUUCUACACCAAUAAUACGUCAGAUGUACUUGCCUGACAGCCCCGUCUUGUUUCAUAACCCUUGGCUUUUCCAAUGUGGUUGCCUUUCUCUAGAAAUGACAUUCCAAUUUGUCUCCCUGGAGAACUCCUCUUCAUCCUUCAAAACGAGCUUUUGUGACGCCACCUCUCUGAAGUACUCCUUGACUUGCCUCAGACACAAGCGUGCUGCCCUCUCUACUGCAUUGUGAGCACCUAUUGUACCUCACCGUGAGUAUCUGUCUGCACAUCAGUCCCCUCCAUAGUCUGUGAGGUCCCUGAGAACAGCGGCCAAGCUUCUCUCUCUCUCUCUCUCUCCCUCUCCUGCCCUCCCUCCCUCCCUCCCUCUCCCUUCUCCCCUCCUCCACUCCCUCCCUCUUUUCUUCUUCAUCUCCCUCCCCCUCAUCUUACCCUUCCACCCAUCAAAUCUUCCCUGAGUGCUUCCUGAUGAGCCAGGUCCUGCCCCAGGGUCAGGUGAUAGCCCAGACAAGCCCUCGCUUCAGUGGAGCCCACCUUUCCGGGGGCUGCAGGAUAUAACCGUGAGUGAGAUAAAGCCCAAUGAUCGCGGGGAGGAGAAGCGCUCUGGAGAGAACUGAGCAGGGCAUUGGUAUCGAGCGUGGUGUUUGGGGUGGGGUGCGGCUACUGACUGUGGUCAGGGAGGUCUUUCCUGAAGAGGAGACGUUUGAGCUGAGACCUGAAUGACAUGAGGGAUUCAGCCGUGCAAGGAGAGCGGGAGAAAAAGCAGUCCAGGCGGAGGGAACAGCUCACUCAAAGAUCUUGGUGCCCGGAAGGAACAGGCUGGUGUGCCUGGAGAGAAGUGAGUGGGAGAGGUAGGUGGGGCUUUGGGAGGUGAGGGUGGAAGGAGCAGG